AGCAGCAUGGCGCAGUGGUAGCGCGCGGGGCCCAUAUAUCGAUGUAUCGAUGCAAUGGUUGUUUAACCCCGAGGUCACUUGAUCGAAACAAGUUGCUGCUA